CCCGCUGCCGAGCGCCCCAACCCCGUCGCUCGUCUCCCUCCUCGAGCUAGCGCCGCCACCUCUCUCUCCCCAUCCCGCUGCCGAGCGCCCCCGCCCCCUCGCUCCGUCGCUCGUCUUCCUCCUCGUGCGGGCGCCGCCACCAGGUUUUCGAUUCUCUCGCCCCCGGCCCAUCACCUCACGAAUGGACUCCGCCCUUUAGCCCCCCGUUUCAUCUCCCCCAAUUCGUAACUGACGCGCAAAAAUCAAGCUAGGGCGGCUGCCCUACCAGGUCGUGCAUGGAGGCGCGACGGGCCGAGGACCAUGGCGGGCUCCUUCUCCGGCGCGCGCGUGCAGCGGUGAAAUGCUUCCCGCGGCUCCGCCGGACAGUGGACGGGAAAAGUAUAGAGGCGGAGGGGAGGGGCGUCACCAGCGCCGGGCAAACUGACGAGUCGCUGAACCCGCGAGCCUAAGGAGCGGCCUCGGGCGCAGUGAACCCGCGCGUCUAGGCCGAGGACGACGUCAAACGGUGCGGGUCGCGCGGGCCACCAAGGGUGGAGACGUCGUCGCGGGGAUAGUGUGCACACAUCAUUAUCGUCGAACACUUGAUAGCAUAUAUGAAACCCAAGCACGGACUGUUGACCACAGACAGAAGCUACUUUUUGAAGAGCGGAGUGGUGAAAUCAUUGCCAGCACGAAUGCAGUUGAGGAUGAGUUCACCCCACUGUCUCAGUUACCCGUUUUAAAUUAAUGAUGCAAAGUCCAUCUCAUGGAUGUGGAUAUCCUUUAAUCCAAAUAACAGCAAGUCUUUUGGCUUGAUGAUGCACAUUGGAGCACACAGUGGUGAAUGAGAUAAAAGGAGAAGGAGAUGUCGGCUUGAUACCUCUCCACUGUUGCAGAUGUCAUUGGCCAAGUAGUAGAAGUUUGGGCCAUACAAACAGAGUAUGCCAGUCGUCUAAUUGAUCUACAACCAGAGUAUUCCAUUGUCUAAUUGAAGUGAAUAGUAUGCUGUUUACUGCACUAUUUUUAUUUUGCUGGAAGAACAACUUAACGUUAGAGCAUAUUUUGACACCUUUUUCCUGUACCUACCAAUCUUCUCUGCCCAGAAAUAUGGUUGGUAGUUACAAUAUGUGCAAGUUGUUCUUCUUUGCUUUGAAAUAUAGCUCAUGCUUAAAAUCAGCACCCGUAGCGGGUGAUUAUUAUCACUUCCGUCACCACAACUUACUCAGCAGUUUCCUAAACAAACAUGUUCUGCCGGAAAGUACGAAUCCUACUCUACAACUGACUCUGAACUUUAUGUGUUUUUCUGGUUUUAGGAUACAGGCUUUAAACUUAGGUUAAGGGAUUAGCAAAUAAAUGGUUUACCACGUACUUGUAAAGGCGUGGUGCUUUGAUAUUUCUUCUACUGUCUUCUUCUGGUGCUAAAAAAAAAUUAUCCUACUCUUCUUCAAUCUGAAAGUGAUCUUGAUUUUGGAUCCACCAUGUUUUAGGUUUGUCAUGUUGGUACAUCAUUCCACGACUGACAUAUCUUAAUUGUAAAUUUAUGGAACUAAGAGCUUUUUUAUGUACGCAUUGAAUUUGGUUUUCCUCACAUCGAUUGAACUUGCUGAUCUGCAAUGUCUUCUUAAGACCAAUUGGUGAAUUCUUGUGGUUGUGGAAUUAGAGGACGUACUUAUGUUUACACGCUUCUUGGUACCACUCUCAAAUGGAAUUAGAUCAUCUGAGUUGCUUACUUGGGCUCUAUUGAUCUUUGGCUCCACUUUGCUAAUGUGUGUACUGUGUAGAUAUACAAUCAUGCUAGUUGUGUAAUUCAUUCUCUUGAAAUGAAGACACAAAUUGGAGGUUCUUGGUGCAGUUAUUUAAAUUGAUUGUUUACUUAAACAUGUAAAUAAUAGCACAAUUGUUGUAAGUAGCCAGGAAGAUAACAUUUUUGUACACUUGGUAGUUACUGAUUUUUGUAAGCAUCUAAGGAUUAUAUUGUUUGGAUGUAAAGUGUUAUCGUUCCUAGAUUAAAAAA